AGGUGGAUAAGUGGCGCACGGGUGAGUAACGCAUAGGUAAUAUGCCCCAUAGUCUAGGAUAGCCACUGGAAACGGUGAUUAAUACUAGAUACUCCCUACGGGGGAAAGUUUUUCGCUAUGGGAUUAGCCUAUGUCCUAUCAGCUUGUUGGUGAGGUAAUGGCUCACCAAGGCUAUGACGGGUAUCCGGCCUGAGAGGGUGAUCGGACACACUGGAACUGAGACACGGUCCAGACUCCUACGGGAGGCAGCAGUAGGGAAUAUUGCUCAAUGGGGGAAACCCUGAAGCAGCCAACGCCGCGUGGAGGAUGAAGGUUUUAGGAUUGUAAACCUCCUUUUGUUAGAGAAGAUU
rnacentral:rRNA from 1 species